UAUAUCAUUAUGCUUGAGAGGGGAAACGUGAAACAAAGGGACCAACUAUUUGAUUUCAUCAGGAGUGAAUGGCUAAUGACAAAUACAACUAUAAAUAGAGAUCCUGAUGUACAGUCUCUGAAAACAUGUGCUGCUGAGGAAACUAAAGCAUAUAUUGUGAAUGCGACUGGGGCAUCAGUUACUGCAGACUCCAGUGUUAAUCUCAUAUAUCGAUAUUGUGAAAAGCUUCCUGGUGACAGGUACUUUACACCAAGGCCAACUUUUGAGUUCGAAGUUUUUGAACAGUCAUGCCAGUGUAAAAUAAAGUUACCUGCCAGUGCAGCUUUUCAAACACUAGUUGGCCCAAUAUGUAGGAGUCAACAAUUAGCUAAGCAGCUUGUAUGCUUGGAAGCUUGUAAGAAGCUGCAUCAAAUGGGUGCCCUGGAUGAUCAUCUCCGACCGUCAUUUGAUGACCCUAUGGAAGAUAAUUGUAUUAUGAGAAGCAAAGAAACAUUAGCAGGUGCAGGAACUACAAAAAGGAAGGAAUUGCACGGAACCACUGGCAUUCAUGCAUUAUCUGGAAGCUGGGGAGAGAACCUUGAUGGAACCACCUUCUAUGCAUAUAAGUUUGACUUCUCUUGUAGUAUUGCCACAGAGAUGUAUUCCGGAUUUAUUCUUCUAAUUGAGUCGAAGCUUGAUGAUGAUGUUGGAAAUGUUGAGUUGGACCUUUACUUGGUCAGGAAGAUUGUUAGGGCUUCUGUUUCUUCAUGUGGACAAGUGCAUUUAGAUGCUGAACAGAUGAUGAAAGCAAAAUGCUUUCAUGAAUUAUUUUUCAAUGCCUUAUUUGGGAAGUUGUUUACCGGGUCCAAAUCAUCUAAAACAAGAGAGCUUUUGCUUCAGAAAGAAAAAAGUUUGUUUUGGAUCCCAUCAAACAUGUAUUUGCUACUACCACUCGAGACUUUCAGUGCUUCAAAUGAUGAGUCUUGGAAAAUAAAUUGGAGUGGAGUUGAUUCUUGCACAUAUGUGGUAGAAUUUUUGAAGAACUCUUUCUUGGGUGCUGAGCAAUGUAAUGGUGAAAGCAGAAGGUCAUCAUCUUGUAGGGUUGGCUCAUCUGUUACUGAAUGCAGUGGUGUAAACACAAUCCACUUUGCUAAUUUUUCAGUUGAUGCAGAUAAACUGAAAGAUGUGGUGGUAUUGGCAAUUCACACAGGAAAAAUAUACUCUGUUAUUGAAGUGGUGAGUGAUAUGUCUGCUGAGAGUCCUUUUGAGCAAAAUGCUGGUGAUGCACCAUCAAAUUAUUCUUCAUUCACUGAGUACUUCAACAAAAAGUAUGGAAUUGUGCUGAUGCAUCCAGGACAACCUUUGUUGCUGUUAAAGCAAAGCCAUAAACCACACAACCUGCUUCCAAAUCCUAAUGAUGAAGUUACUUCAAAAGAUGGCAUGGCUGUUGUAAAACAGCGACAAUUUGUUCAUAUGCCACCUGAGCUUUUAGUCAGUAUUGAUAUUCCAGUCCAGACUCUAAAAUCAUUUUACUUACUUCCAUCUUUGAUGUAUCGUCUGGAGUCUCUGAUGUUAGCCAGUCAACUUAGACAGGAGAUUGACUGCCGGAUUCCUGACUGUUAUAUCCCAAGUUCACUGAUGUUGGAAGCAAUAACAACACUUAGAUGUAGUGAAACUUUUUCCAUGGAGCGAUUGGAGUUGCUUGGAGAUUCAGUUUUGAAGUAUGCUAUAAGUUCUGACCUCUUUCUAAGAUACCCUACAAAACAUGAAGGCCAAUUAUCUGCUCGGCGCAUACAGGCUGUUUGUAAUUCAGCCCUACAUAAAUUGGGAAUAAGUCUCAAAUUACAGGGAUAUAUACGAGACAGUGCAUUCAAUCCUCGUUGUUGGGUUGCUCCAGGGCAGCGACCUGCAUAUUAUAUUCCUUGUAAAUGUGGGGUUGAUACUUUAGAAGUGCCUUUAGAUGCCAAAUUUCAAACUGAAGACCCUAAAAUUAAGAUUGCAAUAUGCUGCUCCAUGGGCCACCGAUGGAUCUGUUCCAAAACCAUAUCUGAUUGUGUUGAAGCCAUUUUAGGAGCAUACUACGUAAGUGGAGGACUGAUUGCUGCAGUUCAUGUGAUGAAGUGGCUUGGUAUGGAUAUUGAAUAUGAUCCUUCAUUGGUAGAUGAAGCCAUUUCCAGUGCUUCUUUACGUUCUUAUAUGCCAAAAGAAAAUGAGGUAACGAGCCUCGAGUCAAAGCUUGGUUAUACAUUUUCUGUCAAGUUUCUUAUACAAGAGGCUAUGACACAUGCAUCCAUGCAAGAGCAGGGAGUUGGCUAUUGUUACCAGAGACUUGAAUUUCUUGGUGACUCUUUAUUGGACUUGCUCAUCACAUGGCAUCUCUAUCAAAGCCACACAAACAUUGAUCCUGGUGAGUUGACAGACUUGCGCUCAGCUUGUGUUAGUAAUGAAAAUUUUGCUCAAAUUGUUGUGAGAAGGGAGCUAUACAAGCAUCUUCAACAUUGUUCUACAUUACUUCUAAGCCAGAUAACAGAAUAUCUGGAGUCUUUUUGUGAAUCUGAUGAAGCCACCAAAUUGUCCACAGUUCCAAAGGGUCCCAAGGCUCUUGGAGACCUACUUGAAAGUAUAGCAGGGGCAAUGUUAGUUGAUACAAAGUUUGACCUUGAUGAAGUGUGGAGAAUAUUUAAGCCACUGUUGUCUCCAAUUGCAACACCUGAGAGUCUGGAGCUGCCUCCAUUGCGUGAACUGAUUGAAUUAUGCGACUCUCAUGGAUAUUUUAUAAAAGAAAGAUGUACAAUUAAGAAUGACAUUGUGCAUGCGCAUCUUAGACUACAGCUGAAUGAUGUUCUUUUGGUUGGAGACGGAUAUGAUCGGAACAGAAAAACUGCAAAAGGAAAAGCGGCUUCUCAUUUGUUGAAGGAACUUGAGGUUUGUUCUACUUACGCAGUUAUGUUGAUUGUUUCAUAGUUUCUAACAUAUCACUAAAUAAUUCAAAUUCUUUUUAGAUAAAAAGCCUUAAAGAUCUUUUGUUUCUUAAGAUCUUGUCUUUCUAAGAAUUAUCACUAUUCUUGUAAGAUUAAAAUCCUUUUGAAUGAUUGCGUUCUGUAUUUGAAAAUUUGUACUUAAAAUGCUUUUAGAAGGAAGCAAAGGAGUUGUGCAAAAUUGUUAUGAUAUCCUCUCCUUUUAUUAUGGUUAUUUUCUUGGCAAGAUCCCUGGGUGACAAGCAAAAGCAAAAAUAUUAUAUAUCCGUUAUCCAGGAAAAUUAUGUAAAUUAUAAUGCAUUUAUGAAACCAAAGUUAUAACUGUUUUCAGGGUUCAAAACCACAGAACAAAUGUCAUUCUUCUGGACGGCUUGCUAAUUGGCAUUGAUAUAUCCUAUAUUUGUCUUGUACCAAUAUUGUCUGAUUUUUAAUGAAACAGAAUAGAGGAAUAAGGUACUCCCGAGGUGAUUCAAAGAGGAAACAAGAUCCUGAUCACGUUGUUGAUUCAUCUUCCCUAGACCUAACAAACGCUCACACCUGUGAGCCAAAAAACCAUAAGAAGCAGAAGAAAGUAGAAAAUGAAUCUCCUACAGGGUCAAGUGGCGUUCCUUCCCUUGUUGGCAGUCCCAAAGAGGGCCUCCCAGUUAUCGAGUCAAUUAACAUGAAGAAAGGAGGACCUCGAACCACUCUUUUCGAACUCUGCAAGAAAGGGGAAUGGACAAGGCCUACAUUUCAAACAACAGAAACUAAGUCGAGAACUCCUAUAAUAUUUGGUGAAGGCAGUGAAAGAAGAGAAUCAUUUAUCAGUUUUAUAUCAAAAAUAACCCUGAACAUACCCUUUUAUGGCAUCAUUGAAUGCGCAGGAGAUCCUAGACCUGAUAAGAAGAGUUCAUUCGAUUCAGCUGCACUUGCUAUGCUUUAUGAGCUUAAAGAGCUGGGACGACUCAUCAUUGUCGAUGCGCAAUGAAUUUGUUAAUUUAGAACAAUUAGGAAACUAACCCAGCUGGCCACUGCCCAGCAACAAUGGCUUCUCAGGCUUUUCUAGCCAUGCUUUAUGUAUAUAUAUCUGUAUAUAUUCAUACAUGCCAUUUUCUUGGCAAAGCUACUUAAUUUAUGUUAUUAUUAAGAUUCUUUUUUCCUUAAAUAUAAUUUAAAA
rnacentral:misc_RNA from 1 species